AGAGUUUGAUCCUGGCUCAGGACGAACGCUGGCGGCGUGCUUAACACAUGCAAGUCGAACGGAGAUUCAGCAAUGGAUCUUAGUGGCGAACGGGUGAGUAACGCGUAGGCAAUCUGCCUUCUAGAUGGGGACAACAUCCCGAAAGGGGUGCUAAUACCGAAUGUUGUAGUAUUUCCGCAUGGAAAUGCUACUAAAGGUGGCCUCUGAAUAUGCUACCGCUAGAAGAUGAGCCUGCGUCUGAUUAGCUAGUUGGAGGGGUAACGGCCCACCAAGGCUUCGAUCAGUAGCCGGUCUGAGAGGAUGAACGGCCACACUGGGACUGAGACACGGCCCAGACUCCUACGGGAGGCAGCAGUGGGGAAUCUUCCGCAAUGGACGAAAGUCUGACGGAGCAACGCCGCGUGAGUGAAGAAGGUUUUCGGAUCGUAAAGCUCUUUCGUCAGGGACGAACGUAUUUCUUGUAAAUAAUGAGAGAUAGUGACGGUACCUGAAUAAGAAGCCACGGCUUACUACGUGCCAGCAGCCGCGGUAA
rnacentral:rRNA from 1 species